rnacentral:sRNA from 1 species
UGUGAGUUGUGUGCUAGGUGGAGAACGU